rnacentral:rRNA from 1 species
UACGUAGGGGGCAAGCGUUGUCCGGAAUCAUUGGGCGUAAAGAGCGUGUAGGCGGCCAGAUAAGUCCGCUGUGAAAUCUCGAGGCUCAACUUCGAGCUGUCGGUGGAAACUGUCUGGCUAGAGUCCGGAAGAGGAGAAUGGAAUUCCUGGUGUAGCGGUGAAAUGCGCAGAUAUCAGGAAGAACACCCGUGGCGAAGGCGGCCUGCUGGGCAGUUGCUGACACUGAGGCGCGACAGCGUGGGGAGCAAACAGG